GACGAACGCUGGCGGCGUGCUUAACACAUGCAAGUCGAACGAAGUGGCGAACGGGUGAGUAACGCGUAAUCAACCUGCCCUUCAGAGGGGGACAACAGUUGGAAACGACUGCUAAUACCGCAUACUGAAGGAGGAGAUUGCGUCUGAUUAGCUGGUUGGAGGGGUAACGGCCCACCAAGGCGAUGUGCAGUAGCCGGUUUGCGAGGAUGAACGGCCAAAUUGGGACUGGGAAACGGCCCAGACUCCUACGGGAAGCAGCAGGGGGGAAUCUUCCGAAAUGGACGAAAGUCUGACGGAGCAACGCCGCGUGAGGGAUGACGGCCUUCGGGUUGGAAAGCUCUGUUAAGCGGGACGCGGUACCGGAAUAGAAAGCCACGGCUAACUACGUGCCAGCAGCCGCGGUAAUUC
rnacentral:rRNA from 1 species